rnacentral:snRNA from 1 species
AUUGGUACACUGCCUUUUGGCUAAGAUCAAGUGUAGUAUCUGUUCUUAUAAGAAUAUUCAUUUUUUAACUGAGUGAGCACUUUUGAAGAUUCAAUCCAA